GAUUAACGCUAGCGGCAGGCCUAAUACAUGCAAGUCGAACGGGAUUAUUGGUAGCAAUACUGAUAUGAGAGUGGCGCACGGGUGCGUAACGCGUAUGCAACCUACCUCUGACUGGGGGAUAGCCUUCCGAAAGGAAGAUUAAUACCGCAUAAUACAAUGAAGUGGCAUCACUUUAUUGUCAAAACUCCGGUGGUUAGAGAUGGGCAUGCGUAAUAUUAGCAGUUGGUGAGGUAAUGGCUCACCAAGGCUACGAUAUUUAGGGGGUCUGAGAGGAUGACUCCCCCACACUGGUACUGAGACACGGACCA
rnacentral:rRNA from 1 species